GGCGGUUUUGGUAAUUCUGGCGGUUUUGAACCGCCGUUGGCACGUAGGUAUAAAAGAAGAGUCCCUAAAUUUCAGAAACUUAGUUGAAACCCUACGCGUGUGAUGUUGUUGCUCUUGGAUGGCCUAUGCGACAAUCUCCGAUCCUAUUGCGUUCUCCGACGAUCUUCUUCGGUGACAUCUCCUCCGUGAUCUCCUUCGGCGACAUCUCCUAAAGCGGCGAUAUCCUCCGGUGACGUCUCCUCCAGCUUCCUCUCCUUGUCGUCCUCUGUGUCUUCUCCGCCAAAAUUGUCAGCGCCUAAUUCCUCUGCGACGAUCUAGGCCUUUGCGAGGAUUCAUCGCGAGUGGAGAAGUCAGUUCCGCAGUUUGCACUGUUGACGACGUUCCUCCGCAAUUUGUGUUCUGCCGCUCUCGCUGCGCUGCCGCCGCCGCCGCUACCGCUGCCGUUCCUCCAUUCCUCUGCUUCGUGCCUUUGCCGCCGUCCCUCACUCUUCCAAAUGUUUCAUUUAUGUUCCAUUUAUGUUACCGAUUGUAUUUUCCGUUUUGGUUUUCAGCCAUGUGUAAUAUUAAAGUGUUAGGAUUCUUGAUGAAUAAUAACUUAAAUGAAUAAUAAACUAAACUAGGUUGAUGAAUGUAAACUGUAAUUGCAUUAGUUUAGAAAUACAUUUGUAAUGUGCUGUUGCAUUAUUAAAAUCUAUCAUUGAAGACUAUUUUUGUAGACUUUAUCCUAUUUGUCAAAAUGAUUAGAUCUAGCUUUUCAAUGUUGAUGGCUUGUUUAUUUCUUCCUUUUCUUGUUUGUGUAUGAAGAUAUGAAGGUGGCCACCAUGCUUCUGGAUCCUGCUGGAUUAUCAAGCUUACUACCUCUGCCUUGAAAAUUAUGGUGCUUCAAAGGGGCUAAUUUGAAAAGCUCUUACUGAACCUGGGGUUAAGCAUGCGUUGAUUGCAAUACAAGUGCUUCAGCAGUUUAGGUUGCUUAAGAGAUUGGACUUUCCAGAAAUGAAGUUCAGCUUAUACUUAUGGGCUAUGAGCUUCCUUGCUGCUCUGCUGGUGAAGGACCUUAUGUUUCAAAUGGAGCAUGUGAAGAUUGCACAACAGGAUAUCCUUAAAUGGUGCAACGGAAUUAUUCUUAGCACAAUGAGAGCAGUCCAAGGUGCACUAAUAGUAGCAUCAUGCAUACAAAUAAUUUUGGGAUUUAGUCAAAUAUGGGCCAUUUGUUCCAGGUUUUUCAGUCGACUUGGAUACACAUACUAUUCUGAUUCUGAAUCAUUUGUGUUAGGUUGGGAGCUGGGUCGAAAUUGGAAUUCCCAUGCUAAUACUGUUUAUAGCCUUAUCUCAGGUAGCUGUGAUUGUAUGGGACAAGGGAAUAACAAGACAAAUCCUAUCCAAAACCAAAAGAAGCACAUGCAAUAUGGCUAUGAAAGUGGGCUUGGAAAUUUUUGAGAGAGGUCUAUAAAACAGAAGAGGCCCAAUAAUAAAAAAUAUAAUGUAAUAUCUUUAUUAAAAUUGAAAUAUUUAACGCCAAAAGUUGCCAAAAUUUAACUAUUUUCCUUUUUUUUAGCUGCCAACUUAUCCUGCUAACAUGUUUCUUAGUAAUGCUAAUGGAACAGUUUCGCAAUAGCAUCAAGGGAUUGGAUCAGGAGAGUGAGAUUCCAUAACCAGAAGAGUUAGGAAGUAGGUCUUCUGGAGCAAGCAACAAGGAAGCAUGACCUUGCUUGAUAUGUUAAGACGUAUAUUAAGGAUUAUAUGUUAAGACGUAUUAUUGAAAAAUGUUAUUUUGAUACUUUAUUUUUGGAUUAUGACAUUUCAAUUAUGACUUGGAUUAUGACUUUUGAAUCAUGUAAGAAUUAAUAAAAAUCAUCUUAUGAUGUUUGAUUUA